UCCUACGGGAGGCAGCAGUGGGGAAUAUUGGACAAUGGGCGCAAGCCUGAUCCAGCCAUGCCGCGUGAGUGAUGAAGGCCUUAGGGUUGUAAAGCUCUUUCAGUAGGGAAGAUAAUGACGUACCUACAGAGAGCCCGGUCCAACUUCGUGCCAGCAGCC
rnacentral:rRNA from 1 species